UACAUGGGGUGCAACCGUUGCUCGGAAUCAUUGGGCGUAAAGCGCGCGUAGGCGGUUACACAAGUUGGAUGUGAAAGCCCUCGGCUUAACUGAGGAAGUGCAUCCAAAACUGUGCAGCUAGAGUACUAAAGAGGGUCGCGGAAUUCCCGGUGUAGAGGUGAAAUGCGUAGAUAUCAGGAGGAACCCCGAUGGCGAAGGCAGGUCUCUGGGCUGACACUGACGCUCAUGCACGAAAGCGUGGGGAGCAAACAGG
rnacentral:rRNA from 1 species